AGCGACGCUGGGUGCCUACGACGUGACUUUGCCAGACCCACUGGGCUUGCGGCUGCUGGGCCGGGCCCUCCAGCUGGAAGACGGGAUGGGAAAGACUGGCGGUGCUUCUGUGGCUCCGGGCUGGCGUCACUGGAACAGGCAACCCAGGGCCCGCGGAGCUCUGGAAGCGGGCGGAGCUGGUGACACCGGCACUCGCUGCAGACCGCUCGGGAACACACCCCGGCCGCGUCCCCAGAAAAGCGUGGAGAGAGUGGUCUGCCCUGUGAGGACAGAGUCCUGUGGGACAAGGCCACAUGCCCGGCUGACAGAAUCCUGCCUGAAAUGACAGGACUUCGAGGGACACACACGUCCAGAAUUGUCCCUUUUUUGGAGGAUAAAGAUUUUCUUUUCUUUA